rnacentral:tRNA from 1 species
GCCUGGGUGGCUCAGGCGGUUAAGUGCCUGACUUCAGCUCAGGUCACGAUCUCACGGUUCGUGGGUUCGAGCCCCGCGUCGGGCU